CGAACAACAAAACAGCUUAUGUGAAACAGCCAGGUAGAGCAAAAGACUAGGUUAAUAGAAUAUCCAUCCUUGUCCUUAACAUAGAAACAUCCUCGUCUUUUUUUAUGAUGCCAUUUCAUGAAUCUAUAUACUACAACUGUUCUCUGUUGAAAUAGAGAGAUGUUCAAAUUAUAAAGUGUCUCUCAUCCCACUGCCUUCAGAAUUCUGUGUGGUGUUGCAUUAUUCAUACCAACCGACAUUUCAACAGAUUAGCAGUGAUACCACAGAUUCCAACUAUCUUUUAUGGAAAGAGGAGAUGCUCAGAAGAAGAAUCAUGAGUAGGGUUUAGUGAGGGAACAUUAAUGCUGUGAAAACCCAUCAGACUGAGUGUCAGGAGACACUUGAGUUUUCUUCCUGGGUCUGAGUUUUUUUUGAUCUUGGCCAGGUGUCUGCUACAUCAGGAUCACAAAGAUAAUCAUGGAUCUCAAAAAGCUUGAGUUCUACUGGAGGAGACAACUUCAACAUAUCUUUCAUGUAACAACUGCUAGUUGCACAAUAAUGAGACUUCUUAAAAUGUCAAGAUCCCAGGUGAGAAAACAAACAUAAAUGGCUUCCCUAGAAGGACUGAAAACAUUAAUUGAAACCAAGUUCUCUAGGCUUAGUGAUCUGGCAUCUCCCAUCACCCCCAGAUGCCUCUACCAUCUCAAAAAAGAUGAAACAAACAAACAUAAAUAAAUACUUGAGGAAAUACA